rfam:Halobiforma lacisalsi AJ5 contig_29, whole genome shotgun sequence.
GGGAGAGAGAGCCCGGCUGCCGCGAUGGUCGCGCCGGCAACGGCCCGACCACCGACCGUUGCGCGUCCCGACGGACGGGCAACGCGCCAACGUGAUCCAUCCCUCGUGGAUGUGUCACGCCCGCGAGGAAAGUCCCCCCACCUGUUCGGGCAGGUGACCGGGCGCAAGUCCGGAGCGGGAGACCGCUGGCUCUGGAACAGAAACGACACGUCUCGGCCCGACCGAUGAUGCGCGCGAACCCGACCGCGAGGAAGGGGAGUUGACCCGCAGAGGGGGCGAUUCGAGUGCCAAACGGUACGAGAACCGCCGGCGAGCGAUCGACACGACGUGGUUCGAAUCCACGGAUCGCGUACGGGGUUCGACGGCACGACCGUCGAACGGUAUCGACGCGAUCGAUCGCACGUCGACGGCCGAGGAUCGAUGGAACGGCGAACCCUCACCGGUGCAAGUCCGUGCCGUGGUAGCCCGAACGUCCCUCGGUCGCCGCGAACGGCGCGGCGAUCGGGGACGGCGCGGACGCUCAGCCGAAUGCCGGGACGAACAGAAGGGGGCUUACUCCUCUCGCCC